CCCUGCCAUUUGUACACACCGCCCGUCGCUCCUACCGAUUGGAUGUUCCGGUGAAAUCUUUGGAUCGUGAGGAUAUAGCUUUUUAAGUUACCUCGUGAAAAAUUGAUUAAAUCAUAACAUCUAGAGGA
rnacentral:rRNA from 1 species